rnacentral:rRNA from 1 species
CGACCGGCGCACGGGUGAGCAACACGUAUGCAACCUGGCCGCCACAGGGGGAUAACCCGCGGAAACGCGGCCUAAUACCCCGUGACGCCACCGGAGGGCAUCCUCCGGUGGCCAAAGGAGCGAUCCGGUGGCGGAUGGGCAUGCGGCGCAUUAGCUAGACGGCGGGGUGACGGCCCACCGUGGCGACGAUGCGUAGGGGUUCUGAGAGGAAGGCCCCCCACACUGGGACUGAGACACGGCCCAGACUCCUACGGGAGGCAGCAG